GUAGGUGAACCUGCGGAAGGAUCAUUACCAUUCAAAAAACUUAGACCCACGGGGGCAUGCUCUCCAAUAGGACAGUCAGUAGAUGUACGGUUCUGCUGGCUGGCAGCUGAACGGAAGGCAGUUUCCAUUUAUGGUUCUGUCUUGGCUAGUAAGCUGAUCGAGCUGCCUGUCUGACCCUACCCUUGCUUUUUGCGCACCCAUUGUUUCCUCGGCAGGCUUGCCUGCCAGUAGGACCCCCUUUAAACCUUUUGUAAUUGCAAUCAGCGUCAGAAACAACGUAAUCGUUACAACUUUCAACAACGGAUCUCUUGGUUCUG
rnacentral:misc_RNA from 1 species